rnacentral:lncRNA from 1 species
GAGGACACUUGGCGCUCAAUGAAGUUUUAUGAUCAGCUGGGUGGAAUUUUUUCAGUUGUUAGGAGGGUCAUGAGACAAGGGGCUGUUCAUGAUAUCAGAUACAUGCAAUGGAUGUUAAGACAGCUCACAAGUAAUCUUACAUUUCAAGAAGCUUAUGAUAUGACCGGUAGAAUUCUUGGGAUAACAGUUUGCUCUCCAAGGAAGCAUGAGCCACCUAGGUGCCUUAAUUAUUUGACUUCGCCUCAUGUUGUCAUAUGGAGUGCAGUAAGCGCUUCUUGUGCCUUUCCUGGCCUUUUUGAGGCCCAGGAGCUAAUGGCAAAAGACAGGAGUGGAGAAAUUGUUCCUUACCAUCCACCCUUUAAUUUGGAUCCUGAGGAGGGUUCUGGUACAUCUGCACGUCGAUGGAGGGAUGGCAGCUUGGAGGUUGAUUUACCUAUGAUGCAACUGAAGGAGCUGUUUAAUGUCAAUCAUUUUAUUGUGAGUCAGGCGAACCCUCACAUCGUACCAUGGUUGAGGUUGAAGGAGUUUGUGAGAGCCUUUGGUGGUAACUUCGCUGCAAAGGUAUGUUUAUAUUGGUUAACACUUAAGAAAGAAGAAUCCUUUUUACUUUGGUUUACAUAUGUUCUCUUUAUUGGACUAUUUAUUUACAUAUAGUACGAUCUUGUUAGUUGUUGUUACGCUAUUCUUUUCUGUUUUCUUGUCUUAUUAUUGGCACGAUGAAAUGAAAUAAACUAUUUUCAUUGUUUUAAAUUGUAGCUUGCUGGCCUAAUUGAGAUGGAGGUAAAACAUAGAUUUAGUCAGAUACUGGAACUGGGCUUUCCUCUGGGGGGCGUUUCCAAGGUUAUGACUCAAGAUUGGGAGGGUGAUGUUACUGUUUUUAUGCCAGCCACACUUACUCAGGUAUGUGCAAAAUCCUUUUGAGGACCUUUGGUGACAUUCAAAUUAAAAAUUGUCUGAAGAUGCACUGGGAUUUAGUGGCAUUUAAACCUAGAUUGGUAUUUGUUUUGAGAAAUGCGUAGAGUAGCUUCAGGUUUUAUAUUAACUGAGUCUAUCUAUGCUGUUUGUCAUAUGCAUAUUAUUCAAUAAUCUUUUCUAUGGUGAUUGAAUGGCUGUUUUUUCAUGGUUUUAACUAUAACAGUACUUGAAAAUUCUUGAAAACCCAUCUCUUUUGGGGCUUCAAAAGGCGUCCAACCAAGGGAGAAGAUGCACUUGGGAGAAGCUUUCAGCUAUCAAAGCAAACUGUGGUAUUGAGCUUGCCCUUGAUGAGUGUGUUGCAAAUCUUAAUCAUAUGCGUAGACUUAAACGGUGUGCAGACAGAGCUGGUGCUGCUUCUGCUUCUGCUUCAUCUCAUGUUCUAUACAGCACAGCCAGAUUCAAUGCAUCAAGAAGAAUUCCUUCUUGGAAUUGCAUUGCACGAGAAAACUCAACAGGCUCCCUUGAAGAAGAUCUUACAGAUGUUACUUCAUCAUUGCAUCAAGGGGUUGGUGGUUCCACAGGAAUACCUCCCUCUGCUAGGAAUUUGCGAGCCCAUCGCAGUACACAUGAUGGAAGUGAUAGUGAGUCUGAAAGUGUAGACUUACAUUCUUGGACAAGAUCUGGUGGGCCAUUGAUGAGGACUACUUCUGCAAAUUUGUUCAUUGAUUUUGUCCAAAAUCUAGACGCUGAUGGUAAAGUUAACAAAGGUCUGAUGGCUCAUCCAAAUUCUCCUGGAUUUCAGAUGGGAGGUGGGGAUCCUUUUGGUCACAGCUCUAGUAUGACAACAGCAGAUGGAGGCUCGGAAUAUGAGUUUGAUCAGAGGGAUGUGGGGAACAGAACACCAGUUACUGGUUCUAGCAUUAUGGUUGCUGAAGGUGAUCUCCUGCAGCCUGAAAUGAUCCCUAAUGGGCUUGUGCUCAACGUUGUAAGGAAAGAAGACUUGGCACUGUCACGUAAAAGCCAUGGUUCAGGAAAUUACAGCCCUGAAAUAGCUGAAUCCCUGCAGCUUGAUUGUCCAGAUAAGGAAAUGGAUGCUAGCUCGGCAUCUGAAUAUGGCGAUGAUGAUGUCAGUGCUGUAAACUGCCUGAAUGAAACAGUUCCUAUUGCUAAUGCCGCUGACCACUCUAGUGUCCAUGAUGGUGAUAAUCAGGGUGUUGUGGAUGGUUAAUUUUAAGAUUAAUGUUGCUUCUAUCAUUCUAUACUUUCCAAGUUGACAGAGUUCUUUAUGAGGUAACAGAUUGGCCGCGUUGAAUAAGCUGAAGUUUUGCUAAUGUGGGCAGGGUAUGCCCAAAAAAACGGAAAGAAGGACAGGAGGGACAGAAAGAGAAAUAAAGGAGAGCAGAGGGGAGAAGAAAGAAAAAAAAGAAAAAAAAAUAUUGUUUUUUACUUUUAAAAAAGUAUAAUUAUAUUUUUUAUGAAAAAUAACGGGUAAUAUCUAUGUCUCCACCACGUGGAUGUUAUGUGUACAAAUCAUCAAUUAUUAUUGGCUAAUUUGCCAUGAUAAAUAACAGUGUGAAUGCUUAAUUGGUUAGUAACCAAUUCAUCGUCUAUUAUUAAAGUGUUAAAGCAAAGCGUCAAAUUAUUCCACGGCUUCAAAAUAGAGGUAUUAUCUUAAAUAUUUUUUAAAAUACAGAUAUUACAUUUGAAAAAGAUACGUAGUACAAAAAAUAGGGAUCGCAACAGUUGUAGUGUGUUUAUGCAUCGAACUUUUUUAAUAUUUAAAUUUAAAAUUAAUUCGAUAUUAAAAUAUUAUUUUUAUAUUUAAUUUAAUAUAAUAUAUAAAAAAUAUUUUUUAAUAUGAAUUAUAUUUAAUUAUACAUAAAUAUAAUAAUUUUACUAAAUUAAUAUAUUAAAUUAAAAAGUUAAACAAUAAUUUUAUUAAUUAAUAUAUAUAAUUAAAUAAAUAAAAAAUUUAUAUAUAUUUCGAUUGGGUCAGAGUGGUGCCACUCAAAACUGACUUUGACGUGAAUUUGAUCUUAAAAAUUUUUUUUGAUCUUAUUUAAUUGAGGUGUAUAAAAAAUCAUCAAAUACGAAUUAUUUUUAUUUUUAUGUAAGAACCAAAUAUGACAUUAGAUUGAAAUAUGAAAUUUUUACAACAAAAAAUUUUUUUUGACCUACAUUGAAAUACAAUUGUUCUAUAUAAAAGUAAAAACAUACACUUUAUUAUCACAAAGAUUUAAUUUUUAAUUUUUACUUAAAAAUUUUAUUUGUUAUUGUAUUUAAACACAUUUCUUGGUUUAUUGCUUUAAAAAAACAAAAGAUAAAUAUUGAAUAACAAAAAAUCCAAACAGUAUGUCCAACUUAACUCGUAAAUUUCAUAAAUAAUUAAUGUAUUGUAGACAUGAGAUAAUAUUUAAUUACUCCUAGUUGAAGUAAUAAGGUAAUAAAUUUUUUAUAAAUUGAAAGUUUUUAGAUUUAACACUAGGAUGGUGUCCUGCUUCGUUGGGGAUUUUUUUAAUAUUUAUUUCUUGGUUAUUUAAUAUUUAAAAAUAAUUUUAAUUAAAUUAUAUCAAAUAAUAAUUAUUUAUUUAUAUAAUAAUUUUUUAUGUAUUAAUAUCUACUAAUAUUAAUACAAUUAUAUUUGUUAAUUAUAAAAAUUAAUUAUUAUUAAUUACAUAAUAAAAUGCAUUUGUAUUUGUCGUUUAUAUACUAUUUUUUAAAUACUUAUAUUUUAUUAUGUAAUUAAAUCUAUAUUUUUAGUGAUGGUUUUAAAAAAUUUAGCAAAUUUCAUGCAAAUAAAUUUUCUUAACAAUAACAAUAUAAUCGUCAAAUGAAAUCAUUAUUUAAAAUAUAAUCUUAAAAGUAUUUUUUAAAAAGCAGAAAUUAAUUUUAUUUUUAUUAUUAAUAAGUAUCAAAAUUUCAUAUUAAUAAUAAAUAUUAUAAAAAUCAAUAUUUUUUUAUUAUUAUACUAUCAUAAAAUAAAAUUAAUAUUUAAAAAAAAAUUAAACCAAACUUAAUCUUUGAGCUAAAAACCCAAACAAAAAGAUCAAAAAUCAAAUGGCCAGUGCCUUCUACGUUUCUUUCUUCUAGUCCCUUUUAAAACAGUAUAGUGUAUUUAUUUGAUGACCCUAAAAUAAACAUAAUUCUUUUUAUUUCCCUAAUUCCUAAUUAAGUCGCGAUUUUUUUCUUACAAAAAUCCCUCCUUUUGUCUUUUUCAAACCUCGAAAUCAACUCAAGUUCCAAAAUCACCUCAGGUCGCUUCUUCCACCCUCCUUCAAAAUUCAUUUGGAGGACGUUGGGUGCUUAGAUCUUGUUUUUUUUUUUUUUUUUUAAUUGUGGAUUAUGAUUUUUUACUGAAUUUAUUUUUUGAUAUUCUUUUGAUUGUGAUUUUUGAGUAAAAAAAUUUGGAUUUAUUUAUUUUCUUGUUAUUUUUGGAUUAUUUUUAUAUUUUUUGUUUUUGGAUCUGAGUGAAAUUUUUGGAAUUAUUUUGGUUGUCAUUUUUGUUGAAAAAGGAUUAUUAGCUUGAAGAUGGUUUUAGGUUUUUGAUUUAGCCUAGACUUGUUUGAAUUUCUUAAAAAUUUUAAAAUUUUUUUUUAAUUUUUGGAUUAAUUUUAAAUUUUAAAUUUUUAAUCUGAUUGAUUGUUGUGAAAUUGUGUUUUGUUUGGAUUGUAGAGAUGGUGGUGUUGCUUUCAGAUCAAUUUUUAUUUAUUUAUUUCUUUCUGAUUUGUACUAUUUUGUUUUUUAUUGCAUUUUCUUGCGUUGCUUGGUGUAAAAAAAAUAGAAGAAAAAAGUCUGAUAGGUUUAUUAUAAUAUUAAUAAUGAAUAAGACUAAAAUAAUAUUUUCAAAAUUUGACAGGUGCCAACCAACUAUUUUUAAUAUAUAGUUAAUCGAUAGGAGUUAAAGUGAAACUUGCCACAUACUAUAAUUUAAUAUUGAAAUUUGUCAUUAUAUAUUUAUUUUAUUGAAUUUUUUAUUGUACUUUUAAUUUUAUUUUUUUUGGAUAAUAAAUAAAUAAUUGAAAUAUUUUACGAAAUAUUUUGUUAGUGUAAUUGUCAAUUGGGCCAUUAAACUUUCAAUUUCAUUGAUUGAUGGGCAAAAAAUAACUGAAUUAAAAUGUCACAAAUAUUUUAUUAAUGCAAAUAACAACUUUAGUCAAUUUGGUUAUUUUAUGUAAAAAAAUUUAAACAAAAUUAAAGGUAAAAUGUCAAAAUUUAACAAAAUUAAAACACAAUAACAAAGUUUAAUAUUGACCUAUAUUAUAAUGAUAAAAAUAUUAAUUUCAAUUUUUUAACAAUAAAGUGUAUAAAAGUUAUGUUUGUUGUAUAAAAUGAUAAAUAAAAUAUGAUAAUAAUAAUUUUAUAUUAUAUUUGAUUUUAUUUAAAGAAGAUAUAAUUAUAAGGAAGAUUAAUUAUUCUCUUGAUAUAAGAUAAUUUAAUUUUUUCAAAGUGCAAAAAAUUAUUUUUAAUUUAUGAAAUUGAACUUACAUAUCUUAUUAUAUUUUUAAAAAUUAUAUCAAUAAUUUAAAUUUUAUAAAUUUUAAAAAAAUAAUUUUAAUCAAUAAAUAAAUUAUUUUAUUCUAAUUCUUGUACACAUCAAAUAUAAAAUAAAAUAAUAUUAUUUAAUUUAAUUUUAUUUAUAAUAUUAAUUUAUUUUAUCUUAUCAUAAUUUUAUAUAUCAAACACAUCCAAAAGUGUUGCAUUUAUGAAAAUGCAGGUUAGUGCAUGAUUUCAUGGAAGAUUUUAAUCAUUUCAUCCAUCUAAGGUUUGUAGAAAUUGAAAAAUAAAGCAUUAAAAAUUUAAAUAUCGAAUUUUUAAUACUAAAUUUGAUAAAUAUUGAAUAAGAAUUAUAAAAAUUGUUUGAUAUUUAUUUAAAAAUUAAAUGCUAAAUAUAAAUAUAUUUGUUUAAUAAUUAUGAAAUAUUAAAUUCUGAAAAUUUAUCAUUUUAUUGUUUUAUUUUUAUUGUAGAUAAUGAAAAUAGUAUUUUUAAGAAAUAAUAAUUAAAAAAAGUUAAAAAUUUAUUAAACAUUUUCUACCUUAAGUGAUAAAUACGUCUAUAUCUAUUUAUCUAAUUCAAUACUUUUUUAUUGAAAGAACUUUUUAAGUCGAUUUUAAAAUAUGUUAUUAAGUGUAUUAAAAAAAUAAAAUGUCGAAAAUUUUCAUUUUUCAAUGCAAUGAAAAUCUUUAAUAAUUUAUGAAACAAGGCCUAAGACUAACAAUUUUAUUAUUUUUUUAGAAAUAAAUAUAUUUUUCAGCGAAAUGAUUGAGAAUUUUUCUUUUUUCAUUUAAAGAGGUUUUUAAAUUUAGAAAUGUUAAAAAAUGUUUAUUAAUUCACUUAAUAAAACGGUACUUAUAGCGAGAAUAUAUGAAAUAAUCACCGUUUUAUUUUAUUUUUUUAUUCUUAAAAUGAAAGUAACAUGAAGUUGUAAAUUUGCCACGUCAGGUAAGAGAAUGAUGAAAUUGGAGACGAAGAUUUAGAUGCCACGUCUCUCUUGCCUGUUAUACUUAUCCAAUCACCGCUGAAUAGUUCAACAAUAAUUUGGACCACGUGACAACUUAAUACCCAAAAAUAUUUUUUAAAAAAAAUAAAAUGUCGAGAAGUUUUUUAAAAUAAUUUAAUUCACAAUUUUAACUUAAAACUAGAUUGAUACCUUCACUUCGCCCAAAGUUUCUUAAAAAUAUUUAUAAAUUUUUUUGCUUAAUUAAUUUUAAAAUAUAAUUUUAAAGUAAAUUAUAUUAAAUAAAAUUUAGUUAAUAAUUUUUUUAUAUAUAUUUAUGUGUGUAUUGAUAGUGAUAUAAUCAUGUUUUAUCAAUUAUGAAAGUUGAAUAUAUAAAAAUUAAUUAUUUAUAAAUUACAUAAUAAAAACGUAUUUGAAAUGCCAAAUAAACUUACUUUAUUAUACAUUUGAAAUACCAAAUCUUUUAUAGUAAAAUUUCAUAUGCAAAAGAUAAAAUUAUGACAUUAUGAUCAAGAAACCAGCAUUUAGAACAAUUGCAAAGGUUUCAAUAAUAAAUGAGCCAUCAAUGUUGAUGGUAAAAUUUUAUUGUAAUGUAAAACAUACUUGUACCAUUUCAUUGACAAAGUCAAAAGCUCCAGGUUCAAUGAGAGAUCUUACCAACGAAUAUCCGAUAAUUACUUAUAUAAUAUAUAACAAUAAACUAAGAAAUUUGGGUAGAACUUAACAUUGAAAUCAAAGAUUAGCUAAGCUUAAAUCAAUACAAUAUGAUUGGUUGUCCAACACAAGCAAAUGCAAGGUCCCCAUAAGUUGCAAACAUGAUGUCAACUACCAAAUUUGAUACCAGUCUACAAAGCAUAAGCAAAAAAAAAAAAAAAAGUUUAGAUCAACUUAUUAAUUGAAUGUUAAAAGUAACUUCGAUGAAACAGAAGAUAGUUAGAAGUUUACUUAAGUCCAACUGUAAUACUAGAUAUUUUAAUUUAAAAUUAGAUAUAAUGAAGACGUUAUCCUAAAAAUAAAUCACUAUCUAAGACCUGUAAGUAUCGCAAUAAAUUUUAAUAAGAAGUUUUAAGUGAACCAAUCUAACCUUUCAAUCUAUCAACAUAGGUGUAUCUUUAGCUUUGUUAUCAUUCUCUAGAUUAAAAACGUUAAUGAGUUAAAAUGAUCUCAAAUGAGGUUGUAAAAAGUAUGAGAACUACAUGUUUCUAAUUAGUUAUACCGAAGAUAUGGUAAAAAAAUAGUUCAAUUCUUUUUAUCAUUAAAAAAGAAAAAUAAAAAUUUUCAAUUAACAACAAAAAUAAUAAGACUUCAAAAGCUAAAAAUAAAAUCUACUAAUUAAUAAGUAGAAAUACAUACUUUUCCUCUUUUGUAUCAUCUUUCUUUGGCUUAGCUCUAAUUACGGUUUCCAAAACAACGUGAUCAACAAACACAUAUUAAAGAAAAUAGGCUAGCAAGUUUUUCAAGUUGUAAAGUUUUCCAAAGAAUAAGAACUACCAACUUGUUGUUAUGCUACAUUGUUGUUGAAAAAUAGGCUACUAACAUGUUGCUAUUUUGCUAAUACACAAAAACGCUAAAAAAUAACAAAAAAAAAAAAAUUUCAACUUAAAAACUUAAAUGAAACUCAAACCUAAUACCUCAAACUAUACCUGAAAAAAAUAAAACCUUAUAAUUAGAAACAAAGAAAAUAAAUCAAAUAACAAAUUUAUUACAUAACAAAAAAUCAUUAAAAUAAAUAAAACUAACAUACAAUUCUACCAAAAACAUGACCAACAGAAAUAUCACCAAAAACAAAAUAAUUCGAAUCAUCAACUAUACAACCUAAUCUUAAAAAACAUAACCUUACCAACAGUAUUACCUUUCCUCCAAAUUUAGUUAAUAGAUUUUCCUCAUCAAAAUAUGAUCUCAUGAGCUCUAUAUUGUCUUUAUUCUUAGGGUACACAAACUUCACCUUUUGGAAGGUUUUAGAAUCCAGAAAAUACUUAACAAUCUACAAAAAUGAAAAAAAAAAAAAAACAAGUUGAUUAAGUUUAAUAUAUUAAAUCAACGAAAGCAACAAUUAACUUACAAUGCUAAAUGCACCAAUAUUAUGUCAUUUAGUUUCAAAAAACUUGUUCUUCACAUUGUUAAAUCGUUAUUAAACACAAUUAUGCCUUAGCACAAGUCUAGAGACAUUCAGCACUCAUUUAACAAUUAGAAUCUGGUUAAGCGAAAAGAAUUCAAACCUUCCAAAAUACUUAAAAAAUUCUUAGGGAUUAUAAAGAAAUGCUAUAGCCAACCUUUCAGGGUAAUGAUUUUGUAUUAUACUAAUAGUGUCGUGGGCAAACUUAAUGGGCACACUUGUACUCAAUGUCCACCCAAUGAAGUCUAUAAACCAAGCCAUUUACUCUUGACCCUCUUAAAGGUUUAAGAUAGCAUUCUCUAUCAGAUAUACCAAAUGGCAUAGUUGAUUGUCCAACGAUGCCAUGUUUAACAACAUUUUUUACCAUAUGAGUUUCUAAAAUUUCAAAUAAAACAUACAUUCUUGAUAUCUAAUCCCAAUCGAGAUAGCCAACCCCAUAACUUUUUUCCUAGCUACUUACCUUUGAACCAUCUCUCUAGCAAACUUGGGGUCCACAACUAAGCUAGCCAAAUUGGGAUUCCUUUGAUAAGCCUUCUUGAUAUUAUCCAAAAGUACAACCCUUUGUAUGGAUUUUGGCCAAUUCAUGCUCUUUAAGCUUUAGAACUACAGAUUUUUAAGGUACAAAAGCAUGUGAAGUAGAAGAUGCUACACUAAAAUCAUGGCAAAAUUUUCAACAAUCUUGUGCCAACAAUUUCAUGCAAAGAGUCAAUCAUUUUGAAAAAAAAAGAAAUAUAGCUUAUCUUGAAUGGAAGCAAAAUAAGUCCACAAUCACAUAAUCAAAUUUCUUAAUAUUAGAAUCAAUGUAAAUAACCAAUAAUAAAUAUAUAAAUAGUCCACUAAUUGCAGAUAUAAGAUGGAAACCUUUAAUUAAACAUUGUCAUAGGCAUCGACUCUUUUGUUUGUCAACCAAUAAUCUAGAAAUGGACCUAAUAGCAAUAGUUUCCAACUUGGGCAAGAAUAGUAUGUUCUAGUAGGUUAAAGGAAUUAAGACUAUACCUUCGUUGAAUGUGAUGUACAUACUGCACAAAUAAAUAAAAAAAUAAAAAAAUAACUAAAUUAUAAGUUCUAAAAAAGAUACAUCAAUUUAGAACAUUAGAAGAUUCAAUUUAUAUGAACAUGAAUUAAUAACUUACAUAUUACUAUAAAGAAAUACUCCAAAUUGCAAUAAGGGUGGCUCUGAAACCUUUGAUAUUAACACUCACGUUAGUGAUAGUAUAAACACCAACACCCAAAGAACAACAACUAUGCUCAGUUUUGUAUCUCUGGAGUACCAAAUUGUCUAUCACAACUUCUAAAAAUUAGGAUAUAGGAAUCAUAUCGAACUUUACAAUUUGUCAUUUAAUUAGAGAAUUUGUGAUUUCUAAAUUAUUCAAAAACAUAACUAUUGAAAUUUAGUAAAUAUUAUACUUGACCUGAAAAUCUCAUAAAGUUCCACAUCAAAUUAACAUUCAUUCCAAUGAUAGAGAAAUUUGUAAACAAAUCAAAUUUCAAAAGCUUAAGCAAUGAUAGAUAAGAAGAUAGAAUAUGUACUAACCAUCUUAUAAUAGCUGUCAUCAAGGUUGUGGUAGCAAAAUGCGAACCAGUUAUUGUUAUUGUUGCAACAAUUUGCAAUCAAGUACAAAGGAAUUACUGAUAGUUUAUUAGAUCCUUAUUGUAGUAACCAUAAUCAAAACAUUUAUAAAGGAACAAAAACCAAAAUCUUUAGCUUAUUUACUUGUAGAUGAUUAUUAUACUAGUAUCACAAUCAUCCUACACUUAAUUUCAACUACUUUCAAGUUAAACCUUUCACUUCAUCUCAAAUAUGACCUUUGACUUGAUUCAUGGCUUAUAAUUUGUCUCAUAUAUCAAUAAUGCUAAAUCAUAUUUUAACCUCAUUUUGAGGUUUUUUUUUUCUCUUUGCUUGGUUAAUUUGUUCAAUAAUGGACAUCAAAAGUUGCUCUAAUGCCCAUUAUUUAAUAUUUGUUAACCUUGAAAAUUGAAUGUUGUUGAAAUUCCUAAUAUUGUUACUACACUCAAUAAUUCAUACUAAUAGCUAAACUACAAAUACAAAAACUUGAUAAAAAAAUAAAGAAAUGAAAAAUCCCAUGACAAAAAAAAAAAAUUCUAGUGAGAGAUAGGGGUUGAAAGCUUACCUAAAUUUGUUAACAUUUUAGGCCAGAAUAAUGUCACCUUGGAUUUGCUGCUAUCUACCAAGAUCGUUUACCAAUAGAAGAAAAACAUGGAACAGUUUGAUAUAAUAGUUUCAAGAAAAAGAUGCAAAAUCAACUUUUUAUUAUCCUAAAAUUUAUUUAAGUUUUUCUUCUCUUUAGUUAUAUAAAAGACUAGGAAAGAAAGCGUUUCUUGUAUUGGAUUUUCUUAGGAACAAAAUAGAGGAAAAAGAAAACCAAAAAAAAAUUGAAAAACAUAUGGUGGAUUUGGAAAAUGAGGAGACAAUGUGAGGACGGGAGCGAUUGUCUUUGAUGCAAAAAUAUUUGAACAAACAUCCUAUGACUUUGCAUACUGUAUGAUUAAGAAAUUUUACCACUGAUCUUAUUUUUCACACUUUUGAAGAAAAUGAAUCUUUUUCCUUUAAGCUUUUGGAGAAGCUUCUUUCCCAAAAUUAUCCCUUAAUUAGUUUUAUUAACAUUGAUUACGUGUUCUCUCAAGCAAUGUUAAGGGAUCACUUUUAUAUAUUUUAUAAAUUUUAGGUACACUAAAUAGAAUUGCAUGUAUUACUGAGUAGGAAGAUUACCAUUAAAACAUCCCCAUGAAAGAAUAUUGAAACAUGGAGAUCAGUGAAAAGAUAACCCAGUAGGUAACUAAUUUUGUGGUGUCAGAGUUUGAAUUAGCCUCAAUUGCCUGAAUGGAAGAACACCUGUUAAGAGUAAAGAAAUGUUAUCUUAAAUGAUCGUGAAUCUAAUAAUAAAGUUAAAACAUAUAUCAUCAAUAUGAAAUGCCAAAACAAAAUAGUAAAGUUACACCAAUGGAAGUAGAAAAACUAACAAAAAAUUUCUAAAUAUCAAUGCUAUAAACCAUGAUAAGAGAGGCUUACAAAGGAUAACCCAAAGCACAGAUAGAAAAACAUGAUCUCAUCAUAGAAAUGAAAACUAUUCAAUAAAAAAAAAAGCAUUUGGAAAAGAAAUAAAAGAGAUCUAGCUAAUAAAUCAACUUCCUGAGAGUAAUAAAAUGCAAAAAAAAAAAAAAUCAGACAAUUUUCACUUAUUCACCAACCCGUCUUCUAUGUCAAUAUAAGGAAAAGAAAAAAAACCAUGCAAGAACAUCAAAGCAUAUUAAUGCAAAUUUGGCAAAAAUAAUGAAACCCAUAUUGAAUUUAAACCCAUUUGAUUAGUUUAUCUUUUGAAACUAGCUUAAAUGGUAGUGGUGAAUCUGAGAAAACCUUUGGUAGUAAGCUAUCUUUUCUCAUCUCACGACCUUUCUUUCUUUCUUUUCAUUUUUCUCCCUUCUUUCCACUUUACUUAUUUUUUUUGUUUAUCUUUAGAGUUUGUAGUAUCUCCCAUCUCUAGAUCUGGAAUUCUCUUUUUCUCCUCUCUUUUCUUUUUCCAUAGCAAGAUAAUGCCAAAAUAAAAAAGUCCUUAAAUGAAGACCUAAUUGUUGCGUAACACGUAGCGCAAAAUUAGAACUCUUUGGUGAAUAAUCCUAAUUUGGGGAUUGCUUUUAUAUAUUUAUAUAGAUUUUUGAAUAACUUUAUACGUGCUCGAUAGGCUAUGAAAAGUAUGGAUUAAAAAAAUAAAAAAUUAAUUCAAAAUUAUAGUAUUUAGUUAAGAUUUGAAAUUUUUUAUUUGUUUUAGAAUAAAUUUAGAUAUUAAAUAUAAAUAUAAAUAUUAAGUUUUGAUCAAAUUUAGAUGAAAAAGUAAAAAAAAAAUGAAAUGAAUUAAAUUAUAUAUAAAUUUUUUAUAAAAUAAAAAUAAUUAUUUUAUACCUAAAUUUAUUUAAAUAUGUUAAAAAUUAUAUUAAAAUAAUAUUUAAAAAUUUAAAAAUUUAAAAUUUAAAAAUCAAUAAACUAAACUAGAUCAUAUGAUUUGGUUUAAAUUGGAUCGAAUCGUAUGAAAAUUAAAUUCAAAUUCGAAUUGAAUUUUAAAAGUUUAUAAUUUUAUACAUUAUUUGAAAAUUUUGAAUACUUUAUUUGAAAAAUCUAAAUUAAAUUUGAUUCGAUCUGAAUCAUUAUUAUCCCUUAUGGAAAGUAUUUUUUAUUUUUUAUUUAAAUUUAUUACAAAUUAAAAUUUAAUUAUUAAAAUUAAAAAUUUAACAUUGUACCAAUAGAUUAUAUAAAGUAUUAGUUUUUUACAUUAAUAGUGAGGGUUUUAAAUUUCAAUUUAUAGAAUUAUUAAGUUGUACUAAUAUAUUGUUUUUAAUUAUGUGUAAAGGAAAACUUUUAAAUUAUAAUCUCAUUGUUUAAUUUUCAAAAUUUAGGUACACUAAGCUUAGUGACAACAAAUGUGAAACAAUAAUCGUACAAUUCUUUUCUAUUAAGUUAAAAAGAUGAAAGGAGUGGAGCGAUAUUGUUUUAUAAAUGGGGUUAAGAUUAAAUUUAUUAUUCUAUUAUGAAUUAAUAUUUAAUUUAUCAUUAUAAAAAACUCACAUUAAAAGAUUUCUUUUACAAUUAAUGAGUCUAAAUUUUUUUUUUGAAUUUAUUUAUAAAAAUUUUGCUUAUUUUUUGAUAUUUUAAUGAGAAUAAAAUACAAAAAUUAUUAAAUUUUAAAUAACUUUAUAACGAUUAAAAUUAAUUUUUAAAAUAUCAGUGGCCAAUUGCCCCAAAUGCCUCCUCCAUGAAUCCGUCCAUACUCCCAUAAGGUCACAUCUCUAAAAUUUUAAUAAUUACAAAAUAAGAAAGACAUUUUAUUCCUUGCCGAUAUUGUAGGACCAUGGCUUUAAUAUUGAGCUUUAACAUUUUAUUCAGUACUUUUUUACUGAGAAUUUUUUAAGUGAAUUUUAAAAUGUGCUAUUAAAAUAUUAAAAUAUUUUUAUUUUUUAAUGUAAUGAAAAUUUUCAAUAAUUUAUGAAAUAAGGCCUAAGACUCACAAUAUUAUUAUUUUUUAAGAAAUAAAUAUAUUUUGCAGCGAAAUGAUUGAGAAUUUUUUCUUAUUCAUUUAAAGAUGUUUUUAUAUUGAGAAAUGUUAAAAAAAUGUUUAUUAAUUCACUUAAUAAAAUGAUUGUUGUAGUGAGAAUAUAUUUAAUAAUGCACUAAAUAGAAGUAAUAUUUUAAUUAACUUUAAUGAAUGCCUAUUUAUUACUGUCACUGUAUUAUUUUUUUAUUCUUACAUAUGAAAGAAACGUGAAGUUGUAAAUUUGCCACGCAAAGUAAGAGAAUGAUGACGAAGAUUUCGAUGCCACGUUCUCUUGCCGGUUAUACUUCUCGCUCAAUAAUUCAACAACAAUUUAGACCACGUGACAACUUACUAUUCAAAAUUUAAGUAAAUUUCGUAAAUAUACUUUGUGAUUAACAUCAAAAUAAAAAUAUAAUAUUUAAUUAUUUUAUAAUUUAUUUUAUUUUUUAUCAAAAUCGUUACUUUUUUUUUACUUUUUUUCUUUUUUUUUUAUCUCAAUUCAUAUUUUUUCACUAAAAAUUCGUUCUCUCUAAAUCAAAUCAAUUCUUUCUCUAACAAUUUAGUUUGAUUUAGUUUUAGAGAAUUUGUUUAGUUUUAAAGAGAGAGAAUAAAUUUGUCAAUCCAAAAACUCAGUUAAAGUCAUUCUUAUUAAACAAUGUUUUUGAUUUAACAAAACCUAAAUGAUUAAACAAAUAGGGGCAAAACAUAGACAAAUAUAGAACUAAAAGAGAACAAGUUUAGAGAACGAGUAAUCUCAAGCAAUUAAGCAAUCAGUACUCAUUCGAAUUCAAUAACAAAAAAAAAAAAUUAGUAAGCAAUUUAGAGCCAAAAUCCAUAAAAUAAACAGUAAAGAAUUCACAAACAAAACCUCAACAUAGAUCAACAAUCAGUGAACCAAGAAUUAGCAAUUAAUUAGACAAAAAAAACUUAUUUUGUAGUGUAAAAUCAACAAUCACCCACCAGUAAGCAAUCAUAGACACAUAAAUUAGUAGCAAAACAUCCACAGAAAAAAUCAAAAACAAAAUAAAAAAUUUUCGUUACACCACAAAAAAAAAGAAAACAAAAUAAAAAGUUUUUAUUAUAAGAGUUUUCAGUUGUGGGGUUCUUCUUUUUGGGGUUUUGAAAUAGAAUAAAAAAUAUUCUUUUAAGGUUUUUGAGUGAUGAACAGUAACAGGAACAAUUUGAAAAGUUUUAAAUUUUCGUCUAUGUCUUGGAGUGUUUAAAUAAAAAAGAAAGUAACGGUAGCUUUUAUUAGAUAUUGAGCUUUUAUAGUAGUAGGCAUAUAAGGAAAUUGAAGAAUAGUGCUACACAGAGGAGAAAAGAGGCUAAAGCCAAUGAUUAGUGGCAAAGCAAGUGGUGAUUAACUGAUUUAUAGGUUUUGUUCUUGAGUUUAAAGCUACUAGAGAAAAGUUGAAGAAUGCUCAGGGGGUUUGGUUUGGUUAGAGAGAGAAUUGAUUUGAUUUUAGAGAUAAAAUAUGAAUUGAGAUGAAGAAAAAGAAAAAAUAAAAAAAAUAAAUGGUAAAAGUAACGAUUUUAGCAAAAAAAUAAUAAAACAAAUAAUAAGAUAGUUAUGUGUCACAUUUUAAACUUUAGGGGUACUUUCAUUUUAGCCUUAAUCACAUGGUAUAUUUAUGAAGUUUACCCAUUUUUCUUUUGUAAAAAAAUAAAAUAUCUAGAAGUUUUUUUAAAAAAUUACUUGAUAAUUUUAACUUAAAAUUUUUGAGUAACUUGAUACUUGCUUGGUAGGUCUAUGAAAAGUAUGGAUGAGAAAAAAAUAAAAAAUAUUGAAAAUCGAUUUAUUGAAUUAGAUUUUUUUAUUUGAUUUGGAUUAAAUUCGGAUAUUAAAUAUACAUAUUAAAUUCGAAUCGAAUUUGGAAUUAAGAAAUGAAAAAUAAAAGAAAUUAAUUGAACUGAAUUAUAGACACCCCAUUUUGUCUAGGGCAUACAUCCAAAUUCUCGGGUUCAAUUUUGUCAGGCUUUGAAAGCUUUUAUUGUGUUUUUUGGGCUUUGAAUGGACUUAUCUCGGUCAGUAUAUAGGCUUUGAGCCCAACAUACAGUUUUAUUUUGGUUCGAGCAUGGUGUCCAGUAAAUAGCCUUAUCUUGUUCAGGUGUUGAGCCCAAUAUAUGUUUACUUUGAUGUGGGCUUUAGCCUAACAUGUAUUUUAUUUUUAUUUUAUAUGUUUGUUUAUCUUUUAAUAAAAACUAAACUAAAAAAAUAAAUUAAAAGGAAAGGAAAAUCAAAAUUUUUUUUAGAGAUUUCGAUCCAAAAAUCAAGGCUGAUCAAAAUUGAAAACCAAAUCAAAUAAGAUUAGGGCAAGUAUUAAAACACCAAGAAUCAAGACAUGAUCGAAUCUAACAAAUAAUCAAUGACAAAUCCCUAAAAUUUUUAUUAAAAAAUCCUAUAUAUCAUGCUCAAACCCACAAAGAUAGAUUGAGAUUAUAUAAAAACUAUACAGAGCAAAAAGAAAAAUUUUUAGGUUCAGGGAUUUUGCAUUUGAUUUGGUUUUUGGGAUUUCUGGAAUUGGGGCUUAAUAUUUUGUUUGGGUGAAUUUUUGUUGGGCUUUAAUUUCUAGGGAUUUCUAGUAUGGAUUCAAGUUUUUGGAGAAGUUUUUUUAGAAUUCUGAAAAAUUCUUCACAUUUUUUGCUAGGAGUUGAAGUUUCUAGCAAUCAGCAUCAAGAAUCCCACUAGUUUUUAAAAGUUUUUCGUCAGCUUCUGGUUAUCGUGUGAAGUUGUAAAUAGAGAACAGAGAAAAUUAAAGUUAGAGACAAAAUAAAAAUAUAAAAUCUAAGGGAAGAAAGAAGAAAUUUAAAUUUUAAGGGCCAUUAAAAUGCACUGCUUCACUUAACUAGAAUCUGCGUGUUUUUAAAAAGGCAACCCAAUACCUGUGCAACCUGGUUUCUGACCCGCGACCCUUUUUUCCUCUGAGCUGAGCCAUGCCCUAGCCAAGUGUUGGGUCGCGCUAAUCCUUAUCCUUGCAGCUGCAUUCUUCAGCCACAAAGCCAAGCUGACUCUAAGUAUUUUUUAUAUUCUUGUCUUAUUUAUUUGUUUUAUUUACUUAUUUAUUUAUUCAUUCACUUUUUUAAAAAAAUACUUUUAUAAAAUUAUAUUUAAAUAAAAAAGCCUUACUAAUAAAUUGGAGGGCUAUCAUUUUUUUUGUUUAAAAAAUAAGAUUUUACUAAUAUAUUGGAAAAUCUUAUAAAUUUUAAAAUUUUUUUCAUAAUAAUAAUAAUAAUAAUUUUUGUGAGAAAAAGCCUUACCUACAGACUGAAUAGCCUAUAUUUUAUUUUCAAAAUAAAGUUUUACCAACAUAUUGAAAAGUCUUAUAAUUUUUUUUAAAAGAUCAAGUUUUGAAAAAUAAAAUAAUAAAAUAAUAUUUUUUAUUUUUUUUUCAUAAAAUCCUACCAACAUAUUGGAAGAUAAUCUUUGAUAGAAAAUCUUACAAAUAUAUUGAAGGAUAUUUCUGACUCUAAACUUAGUUUAUGGAAAUUUACUUCUGUAAGCAAAAUUAAUUGAAUCUAAAGGUAGAGUCUCUUCAUAGCGUGAUAAAUAAUUUCUUUGAAUACUUUUGAAGUGAAAAAAUAUUCUUAAAUUAUUACCAACAUAUUGGAGUAAUUUAAGAAAAAUUUUCAAUAUUAAAAUUAUUUGAUAAAUUAUAAAUAUAUUUUAAAGCUUGAAUAACUUGAAAUUAAACUGGAAAUCAUCUUUUAGUUAGGCAUUGUAAGAGUACUAUAAUCUUUCUCACGCGUAAUCUUACUUUCAAACCUAAACUUUAGUUUUGUGAACAAAAAUCUACUAUUUAGAAAUACCUAAAUUAAUCUUGAGACUCCUUUUUAAAUGGGACAGAUUCAAUCAGGUGACCAAUCACACUUAAACAAAAAAAGAUUAGUAGUGACUCCAAAAGUCAAUAUUUAGAGGUAGGUCUAUGGAUCUAUACGUGAUAACAGUUUGACGACUCCACUGAGGGGAUCGAGAGUCAGGCCAAUAAAUAUUUUCUUGUUAUCUAAGCUUAACUUAAUAAAUUUAAGAAAUUUUCUCAUUGUUUGUAUUUUAUUUAUUUAUUUAUUUAUUUUCAUAUUUAUCAUUCAUAUACACAUGUAUAACAUAAGUUCUACACCUAAGUUUCAUCCCUUAAGAGCUAGUAAAGUACCUAUCCUUUAUGAGAUUUCAUGUCUCUGCAUGGGCUAGUGAAAUAUUCUCACUCAAAUUAAAUCUUUUUCACUUGUAACCUAUGAUAGGUAAGGAUUUGGGUGCCUUUACUAGUCUAUAAUGGAUAAUGAUGCAAGAAACAAUUUGGGAGCUCUUAAAUUGUUUAACCUUUGAACCUAAUAUGUAAAUAAAUCCUAAAGAUCCGAACCUAAGUUAAAGCCAUACCUUCCCUUAUAUUAAAAUUCCUAAACAGGACAUAUGAUGAUAAAUUUAUUCUACUUGUAAAUUUAUGCAUUGUUUUUUUUUUUUUUGUAUAAAUACUAACCCUUUAUGUUGUUCUUUAUAUUUACAUAUUGUUCUUGUUAUAUUAUAUGUCUAUUAGCCCUUUUUUUUUUUACUAUGCAUACAUUCAUAUCAUUAGGUUUAUCAUAAGUAGUAACUGCUAUAAAAUAAUUUUAACAAAAAAAAUCUUAAUUACAUCUAUGAAAAGCUUAACAAAGUCCUCUACUAGCGUGAAAAAAGGAGUUCAAAGAAUAGAAACUUGCAAACAAAAGGCUAAAAAGGGAAAUUUAAGUACUUGAACAAGAAAAAGAUGAAUGGAAGAGUCUGUUUGCUAACUUGAACACAACCUGGUUAUCUACCAAUCGAGAGUUGGCCUAACUUUUGAAAGAAAAUGGAUAGUUACAAAUGAAGUUACAAGAAAGUGAUAAGGCAUUCUUUAAGGUGCAAAGGCACAUCUAAAUGCUGAAUAGAGUGGUGGUUAAAAUUGAAACACAAAUAAGGGUUGUGAAUGAAGAAUGUGAGUAAAUAAAGGAAACAUAUGUGGGAAAACAUGACCAGUCAGAGUCUCUACUUGAUCAAAUCAUUGUUAUUGCUUACAAAGCUAAGGACAUGGUAGAAAAGGGUUGAAGAAUGAAAGACAAAGGUGCCACCAGUGAGAGUAUAUGGCCAAGAACUGCUAGAUUUCCUUAAUGAAGUGCAAAGUCAACAUUGACAAAUUAGGAUUUCCUUUCCUUAUAAAUUUUAAACUUUUUAUAGGUAUAAUAUUAGAUUUGGGUAGAAAUAAUUUUAAAUUCAAUAAAGAUUUUUUUUGUUAACAAUUGUUAUGUGAUAAAAUUUCUUAUUGUAUUCAUGCAUUCCUGCAUUUAUUCUCAUGCAUAAUUGGAUGGUUUCAUGAAUGUCAUUUUAAAAAUGCAUCCUAGUUUUGAUAAAUUAAGAUUUAAAGAUAGCUCAACCAACUUACCAUAAGUAUAACACCCGAGCCCAAGUUAGAAGAAUGGAGUAAGAUAAUACAAGCCGUGUUGAGAAGUUGGAAAAGGGUUUAAAAGAAAAUUAAAAGAGAGUUGAACAAAAUCAUUAAAGCAUUAAGCAAGUUGAAUAAAAAAAAUAUUGUAAAAAAAGAUGCUAGACCUAAAGACCAUCCGUUGUAGGAUAUUAUUGACCCUUUGUAUGCUUCUAAUUAUGGCCUACAUCAGGCCUAACCCACUCAAGGCACUUUAUCACAUUAAUUCAUAUUUUCUGCAAGGUAUACUUACACAGGAAUGCCAUCUACACCAACUCAAGGGCAACUUUAAAGUUUUGUUAAUUUUGUCUUAACAGAAAAGGUAGUAAAGCCAAUCCUGAUCCUAAACGUAGAUGACCUUAAGAAGAAUGAAAAGUUAAAAUUAAAGGUGGUUAAAAUUUUAGAGAAAUCUAAAGUUGAUUACAAGAUGAACAUGCUCGAUGAAAGAUUGUGAGUUAUGGAAGGUAUUGAUUUUUAUAGUUUCAUGGAUGUAGCUGACCUCUAGUUGGUUUUAAAUGUUGUAAUUCCACUAAAAUUUAAGAUCUUUGAGUUUGAAAAGUACAAUGGCACUAAAUAUCUUAUCACACAUGUCACUAUAUACUAUUGAAAUAUGAUUGCCUAUACUAGUGAUAAAAAGUUAUUCAUGCAUAUGUUUUAAAACAGUCUUACUGGUUCAAUUGUAAAGUAGUAUGUUCAGUUAGAUCAAACUUGCAUCCACUCUUAGAAUAAGCUCACUUGGGUAUUUAUUAAUAAGUACUGUCAUAUUAUUGACUUGACUCUUGAUUGUCUUUUUUAUAAAGCAUGAAAGAAAAGGCAACAAAGUCUUUUAAAAAACAUGCCCAAUGAUGAAAGGAUAUAGCUACUUAAGUUUAACCUCUUUUGACUGAGAAAAAAUAAUUAUCUUAUUCAUUAAACCUUGAAGGCAUCGUAUUAUGAAAAGAUGAUAUGGAACAUAAUAAAAAACUUUAUUGAUAUGGUGAUUUCAGGAAGAUUAUUAAAAAUACCAUAAAGAGUGACAAGCUUAAGAAAAAAAGGCUAACAGUACCAAAAAAGAAAGGAUGCCUAAGAAGAAAGAAGCUAAAGCCCAAGUUAUGAGUUUUGAGGGACAACAAUUCAGAGAUUAUACUCCAUAUCCAUCACUUGUUCAUUUUGCUUACUACCCUACAAUCAAUAAUAUUGCAUAAUUUCCUUACCAACCUCAUUACCCAAUCAUGAAAAAAUCUACUUAAGCCCUUAUCAACCAACCUUUCAAGCAUUUGCAUAUGGGUCUAAUUGUGUCAUUUCACCAGUUUAAAAACUUAAUAGUUAAGCAAAUGGUUUGAGAAGAUCUAUGAGCAACCAAGAGAGAGCCCGUAUUGAUCUUAUCCCCAUAAUCUAUACUGAGCUAUUCCUAGAAUUGAUCAAGAAUGACCUGAUAUCCUUAGUUCUUUUGAAACCAUUGAAGCCACUCUAUCUCAAAUGGUAUAAUGUUAAUGUCGCAUGUGAUUACCAUAAUAAAAAUGUAAGUCACUCUAUAGAAAUCUAUCCUACUUUCAAGAAUAAAGUGAAAAGUUUGAUUAGAGCAAACUCAGUGAGUUUUAACAAAUUAAAAAAGUUGAAUAUACACAAAGGACAUUUACUUGAUCACCCAGAGGCAUAAUUUUAGGAAAGAUAUGAAAAGACUGAUUGAAAUUGCUUGUCAUUUUAAGAUUUUUUUGAAAUAAUAAACUUCUUUUAUUGUACUAGGAUUUAAUUUUAUUUUUCAUCAUUCAGUAAAAGUGGCAAAUAUGAUGUAUUUUCAGGACAUUUUCUUUUUCAUAUGAAUCAUCAUUUUAUACUUUUAUCUUUUUACAUUUUUUCUAUAUUUAUUUUCAAAUUUCAAAUAAUGAAUGUUCAAAUAGUAAUGAUAACAAUUUAGGAUUUGAUUUUGAAAAUAUCAUUUAUGUUGAUAAAUUAAGAUUGUUCAUUAUUGAGAUUACUGGAAUAAAAAAAGAUAAAUCUGGUAAAGAAUUUCGCUCACUAAAAAAUGAAAUUGAUACAGAAUGUGAUCUUUGUUUUUAGUCAAUGAAUGUUCUUCAUUAAUAGUAUUUAUGUUUGACAUAAGAAAUGACCAUCUUUGUUUUAUCAUUCACUCAAGGCAUAAAAUUAUCCUUUGCUAUCCUAUUUGAAUUUAUUAAAAUUUUUUUUAAGAAACCUUAACCAAGGAUCAAGCCUUUUGUGCUCAAAAUUUUCUUUAAAAAUGAUGAAAAGUGCAAAAAUGAAAAAAAAAAGCAAAAAAAUUGGUGGGGUAAAAUAUUAAGAUGCUCUUUAUGAAAAGCAAUGAUCAUUGAUUUGAUUAUCUUUAAAAUAUAAUUUGGGCAUGUUUUAUCCAUUUCUUUCAUAACCCCUCACUAUAGCUUACGUUACGUCAUUUAAAAGUUCAUUUUGGUUGAAUGUGAAUACUUAAAUUAGAGAAUCAUGAAUUAAACUAAAGUAGAUUUACUAUUGAAUUGUUUGAUAUUUUGAUCAAAGUGUUACUGAUGGAUCAAAAGAAAAGGAAAAUGAGAAGAAAAAAUGAGAAAAAGAUAUGCAAAAAAAUGAAAAAAAAAAGAAAGAUUUAAAUUGAAAAUCCGAAAGGGUGGUUUAAGUAAGAAAAAUAUAUAUAGACUCAAGAAAACAACUUCAUUUAAGGAUCUUAGGAAUAUGGAUGAUGAUUGGUUCAAAGAUCAAAGAUAUUGAGAGAAUGUAUUUUUAAGAAAGAAUUCUAAGUUAUAAUUCAAAUUGUCUAAAUAGUCAUUAUUCUAGAUGUUAACAUCUCAUUUAAAUAGCCAUACUAUUUUGCUUUUAUCCAUAUUUGAUUUGUCAUUGACCAAAUUUUCUUUCGAUGAUAAAUACUCAUUUUUCUUAUUCUUUAUCAAGUUUGCGUCCCUUGAAUGAAUUGAGAAAAUGUAUCAUAUUUGUAAUGAAUUAGAAUGAUAAUAAAUAAGUGAAUGACAGUGUUUCUAAAAGAGUUUUUAUUCUUUUGAAAGAAAUCCAAAAUAAAAAAAGUGAAAGAAGCCUGAGAAGAUAAUUUAAAAAGGGCAAAUGAGGUGACUCAGCGAUGGAUUGAUCAAUAUAACCUGUGAGUGGAGACUAAAUAGGAAGCUAACAUGGAUCAAUUGACAAAAUUUAUUUUGAGAUUAUUAGUGCUAAGAAGCUAAAAAAAAAUAUGUGAGAUGGUAAAGUCUUAAGACCUUAUUACCACAAUUGAAAUUUAAUAAUUGUAUUUGCAUCAUAGUUGGGGCAUGCAUUUGCAUUAUGUAGUGAACAUUUAAAUCAUGGUAUGGCAUUUGUAUUAUUGAUUAAGGCAUGCAUUUUCAUCAUUUAGUGAGAAUAUGGAUUGUUGCAUAAUUUAGAAGGCAUUUGCAUUAUUAUUAGACAUUUAUUGCAUAUAAGAAUUUGACUUUGAUUGAAGAAAAUUUUUUACUUUUGAAUCCUCGAAUGAAGAAGAUUUUUCAUGAUGAGUUUUUUUUUUUAUAAGAAAAACUUUUUAAACUUUUAAAGUUAUAGAGUCUUUGUUUAAAUGAGCUAUUUUUCAAAAAAUACUCAUGAUUUAUAAGACCUCUAGACAUAAUCACUAAAGUUAUUCGAAUAGGAAUAUUUAAAACUUGAAUCUUUAAAAUUUAGGAUGUGAAGCUAAAAAGAUUUUAAAAAAGAACUUUUGAAAUUUUGGAAAGGAAACCAUAAAGUUUUUAAUGAGAAUCAUUGAAAGUUUAGAUUUGAAACCCUAAUUCAAAUGAGAAUCAUUGAAAUUUCAUAUGUGAACUACUAAAAUUUUUUGAAUAAAAAUCUUUAAUUUUUGGGUGUGAAUCUCGAAAAUUUUCAAGUGAGAAUUUUUGAAUUAUAGAGGUGAGCCUUGAAAUUUUUAAUGUAAAUCCAUAAAAUUUUCAAAUACGAAACUUUGAAUUUUGGAUGUGAAUCACUAAUAAAAAUCUUUUGAAUGUGAAUUUUUGAAUUUAGAAAUUUUGGUAAUGAUGAAGUUUAAAUUCUUAUGAAUCUAAAGUUCUUGCGAAUCUUUAAAUUCUUGCAAAAUUAAAACUUUUACAAACCUAAAAUUAUUGCAAAUCUGAGGUUCUUGCAAAACUAAAACUUUUGCGAACCUGAAGUUCUUACGAAUCUAAAGUUCUUACGAAUUGAAAAUUCUUGGAAACUUAAAAUUUUUGUAAACUUAAAAUUCUUGCGAAUCUUUAAAUUUUUGUGAAUAUGAAAUUCUUACAAAUUUUAAAAUUUUUGCUAAUCUAAAAACCUUGUGAAUCUUUCAUUCUUACGAAUAUGAGUUCUUGCAAACUUAAAAACCUUAUGAAUCUUCCAUUCUUACAAAUUUGAAAAUUUUUGUAAACUUGAAAUUCUUGCGAAUCUUCCAUUCUUGCAAAUAUGAAAAUUCUUACAAAUCUGAAAUUCUUUGCAAAACUAAAACCUUUGCAAAUUUGAAACUUUUGCAAAACUUGAAAUUUUUGCGAAUUUUAAAAUUUUUACAAAACUAAAACCUUUGCGAAUCUUGAAUUUUUACAAAAUUUGAAAUCUUUGUGAAUUUUUUUUUUUGUGAAACUUGGAGUCUUGGAAUCUUUCAAUUUCUAUUACGGAUUGCGAAUCUUUAAAGUUUUGAAACGAAUCUUUGAAUUUUCAAAUUAUGAAUCUUUGGAUUUCAAGCUAAAAAUUUUGAUUUUUUUGAACUUGAGUAAAAUUGAUGUCUUUUGGCAUUUCUUGAUUAAAGUUUUUAAAGUUGUUUAGCCUCUAUGUAGGGGAGCCUAUUUCCAUUUAAGGUUGUUUAGCCUCUAUAUAGAGAAGCUUAUUUCAUAUUUUAAAAUUGUUUAACCUUUGUGUAGAAGAGCCUAUUUCUUAAUUUAAAGUUGUUUGCCUGUGUAUAAAGGAGUUUAUUUUGUUGAAUCUUUGUUUACAUAAGUUAUUGGAGUUUUUAAGCUUUAUGCCUCUGUGUCGAGGAUUUUUUUAAUUUUUUUUUAAAAAUUGCAUGCCUCUAUUUAAAGGAUUCUUUUAAAAUUGCUUAAGUUGAAUUAGACUCAAUGGUUGUUUAUGUUUUUGUAUUAUUUCUGUUUCAUAAGAAUAUGCAAAUAGGGGUAACAAUAGACACUCUAUUUUGUUUGGGGCAUGCAUCCAAAUUCUCGAUUUUAAUUUUGUCGAGAUUAUUAGGUUUUGGAAACGUUUAUUGGGUCUUUUAGGCUUUGAAUGGACUUAUUUAAGUCAGUAUUUGUGAUUUGAGCCCAAAGUACAAUUUUAUUUUGGUUUGUGUUUAGCGCCCAGUAGAUAGCCUUAUUUUGUUUAGGCUUUGAGCCCAAUAUAUGUUUACUUUGAUGUGAGAUUUGGCCUAACAGGCAUUUAUUUUUGUUUUUAUUUUAUUUGUUUGUUUAUUUUUUAAUCAAAACUAAACUAAAAAAAUAAAUUAAAAGGAAAGAAAAAUAAAAAAAUUUUCUAGAGAUUUCAAUCUAAAAAUCAAGGUUGAUUAAAAUUGGAAACUAAAUCAAAUGAGAUUAGGGCAAGUAUUAAAGCAAAUCAAGCCAUAAUCGAAUCUAGUAGAUAAUCAAUGACAAAUCCCUAAAAUUUUUGUAAAAAAAUUCCUAUAAAUCAUGCUUAAACCUAUAAAUACAAACAGAGAUUAUACUGAAACUAUAUAGAGAAAAGAGAAAAUUUUCUAGGUUCAGGGAUUUUAGGUUUGAUUUGGUUUUUUGGGAUUUAUGGAAUUGGGGCUUGAUAUUUUGUUUGGGUGAGUUUCUGUUGGGCUUUAAUUUCUAGAUAUUUCUAGUUUUGGAUUCAAGUUUCUGAAAAAGUUAUUCUGAAAUUCUAAAAAAUUAUUUGAAUUUUUUGGCAAAGAGUUGAAGUUUUUGACUAUUGGCGUUAAGAAUCCCACUAGUUUUUGGAAAUUUUUUUACUAGCUUUUGGGCAUUGUUUGAAGUUGUAGAAAGAGAACAAAGAAAAUUAAAGUUAGAGAAAGAAUAAAAAUAUGAAAUCUAGGGGAAGAAAGAAGAAAUUUGACUUUUAAAGGUUAUCAAAAUGCACCAUUUCACUUAACUAGGAUCUGUGUACUUUUAAAAGGGUGACCUAUACCCACAUGACCUGAUUUUUGACCUGUGACUCUUUUUUGCUUGAGCCAAGUCGCACUGGUCCCUGUGCCUGCAGUUGCAUUCUUCAACCACUAAACCUAGCUGACUCUAAGUAUUUUUUAUAUGCUUAUCAUAUUUAUUUGUUUUAUUUAUCUAUUUAUUUAUUUAUUCAUUUACUUAUUUUUUUUAAAAAUACUUUUAUAAAAUCAUUGUUAAAUAAAAAAAAGCCUUACUGGAGGGUUAUCAUUUUAUUUUUUUUAAAAAAUAAAGUUUCACCAACAUAAUGGAAAACCUUAUAAAUUUUAAAUUUUUUUCAUAAUAAUAAUAAUAAUAAUAAUAAUAAUAAUAAUAAUAAUUUUUGUGAGAAAAAGUUUUACCAAUAGAUUGGAUGGUCAAUGUUUUAUUUUCAAAAUAAGGUUUUAUAAGCAUAUUAAAAAAUCUUAUAAUUUUUUUUAAAAAAGAUCAAGUUCAAAAAAAAAAUAAAAAAAUAAAAAAAAUCUUUUUUCAUAAAAUCUUACUAAUAAAUUAGAGAAUAAUCAUUGACAAAGAAUUUUACUAACAUAUUAGAGGAUAUUUCUGACUAUAAACUCGGCUUAUAAAAAUUUACAUCUGUAAGUAAAAUUAAAUGAAUCGAUGACGGAACCUCUUUAAAGCGUGACAAAUACUCUCAUUAAAUACUCUUAAGUUAAACAAUAUUCUUAAAUUGUUACGAACAUAUUGGAAUAGUUUAAAGAAAAUUUUAAUAUUAAAUUUAUUUGAUAACUUAUAAAUAUAUUUUAAGGCUUGGAUAACUUAAAAUCAAAAUAGUACUAUCUUUUAAAUAAGUGUUGUGAGGGUGCUAUAACCUUCCUCAUGCUAAUCAUAUGCUCGAAUCUGAACUUUAGUUUCGUAGAUCAGAAUCUACUAUUUAAAAAUACAUAAAUUGAUUUUGAAACUUCUGUUUAAAUGGGAUAGAUUCAGUCAUGUAGUCAAUCACACCUAAAUAAAAAAAAAAUUGGUAGUGACUCUUAAAAUCUAUGUCUAGCUGUAAGUCUAUGAAUCUAUAUAUUAUGAUGCAAAUUAUAUAUUUUUAUCAAUUUUAUAUACAUUUUAAAUUUUUAUUAAAUAAAAAUAAUUAUUUUAUAUUUAAAUCUAUUUACAUAUAUGAAAAAUCAUGUUAAAAUAAUAUAUAAAAACUUGAAAAAUUAAAUUUUAAAAAAUUGAUGAACGAAAUUGAAUCAUAAAAUUUUGUUUGGAUCGGAUCAAAUCAUAUGAAAGUUUAGUUUAAAUUUGAAUCACAUUUUAAAAAUUCAUAAUUUUAUACGUUAUCUAAAAAAUUUGAAUUAAAUUUAAUCCAAUGUAAACCGUUAUCAUCUCUAAUGGAAAGUAUUUUACUUUUAAUUUUAUAUUUAAAUUUAUCCUAAAUUAAAAUUUAAUUAUUAAAAUUAAAAAUUUAAUAUUGUAUCAAUAAAUUAUAUACAGUAUUUUAUUUUUAUACAUUAAUAAUGAGGGUUUUAAAUAUCAAUUUAUAGAAUUAUUAAGUUGUAUUAAUUUUAUUAUUUUUAAUUUUGUGUAAAGGAAAACUUUUUAAUUAUAAUCUCAUUGUUUAAUUUUCAAAUUUUGGGUACACUAAGCUUAGUAAAAACAAAAAUAUUUAAGUGGAACAAUAAUCGUACAAUUCUUUUCUAGCAAGUUAAAAAGAUGAAAGGAGUGGAGCGGUGUUCUCUUAUAAAUGGGGUUGAUUAAAUUUAUUAUUUUAUUGUGAAUUAAUUGUUAAAUUUAUCAUUAUAUUUUAAUUUUAUUAAAAUUAUCAUUAUAUUUUAAAAUUUAUUAAUUUUAAACAAAAAUAAUGAAAUUAAUAAAAAAUUUUCAUUUGUAUUAACAAAUAUUUCGUAAAUAUUUCAUUUUAAUUACAUUUUGUGUAAAAAUUUACACUUAAUCUAUGAAAUAUUAUUUAUUUUAAUUUUAAAAUUUUAAAAUUUUUAUCAAUUUUAUAAUUUUAUAUUUAAAUUUUAAUAUAUAUCAUAAUAAAAUUUUAAAAUAUUUUAAUAUAAAAUUUGAAUAUUAUUUUUUUAUAAAAAACCAAAGAAAUUAAACAUAUAAUUUACUAUUUUUUAGUUUUACGUAUUAAAAAAAAAUUUUCCCCAUAAGGUUACAUCUCUAAAAUUUUAAUAAUUACAAAAUAGAAAAGACAUAUUUUAUUCGUUGCCGAUAUUGUAGGACCAUGGCUUCAAUGUUGAGCUUUGAGAUCAACGUUGUAGUUGUAAUAAAUACAAUAAGCUAUUUAAUGCUAUGGUUGCUUCAACAACAAUAAUAAAAUUUUUUGUCAAAAAAUUAAUUAUUUGUCAUUUUUAUUUUCCACUAAAUACAAAAUUCUAAACUAUUUUUUAAUUUUCCUUUCUAUGAUUCAAGGGAAAAUCAGUACAAAACAAAAAAGAAAACAUUAAAAAAAUUCUAGUAAAAAAAUAGUGGUUCUUCCUUGCAAGAAAAAGCAAGAAAACCAGCGUGUUUUAUGCAAAUCAGUUCACGAAAUACAUAGCUAAGUUCCCUAGACUCUAAAAGCAUCGGAAUUUCCUUUCAAGUGCCUAUAUAGUAUCGUCUUUUAUAGUCUAUAAAUAGUAAUUAAAAAGGCGGCCGACAAUCAGAAUCUGAUCUUAUUUCCAAAAAAGUCUUCUUUAUUUCCCUUAUCUCUAGCGUACUAUUAUUACAUAUUCAUACAAUCUUCACCGGCUUUAUCCAAGAUCUUCGUUCAUAUCGGUAUCAUUGUCUCUUCAGAGAUCCCAUCCUUUCCCCGUAAUUUCGCUUUGCUGUUUUAUUUAGCAACUGCUUCAUUAUAUUACUUCUCGGGAAUAUAUCUGCUUCUUUUGGGUUUUCUUUGGUUACUGAGUGAAAACUUUAGAUUGCCAAAGGAAAACCCUUUGUUUCUAACUGGUUUGUUAUGGUUGUGAAUGUGAGAUUAAAGUCGUCUUAGAGGCUUUUUGGGUUUUUGGGUUUUGUUUAGAUUCCUGUGGGAAAAGGUAAACCGAGCUGAUUCUUUGAUUCUUCUGUUGGUGAUGAGAUUUAGAAAUCUGGGUGUUCUUUGAUUUGUUUUCUUAGAUAUUAAGAGAAAUGGGUUCUUGUUCCUAAUUAGAGUUGUGGGGGUUUUCUUUGACUUGUUUUAUAUUUGAUCUUAAGUGAUACCGAAUUCAAGUUUGUGAACAAAUCCAUUAAGCUCACUUUCUCUUUUUUUUUGUUCUUUGGUGCAAAACAAAGCCAAUACUGUCUAUAUUCCUCUUUCUUGUCUUAUUUCUUCAUUCCAUUCUCGAAAAUUUGUUGUCCGCUGACCACCUAAAUCAACAUUCUCUGUUUCCUUAUUUGUUGUUCGCUCUGUUGCCUAAAUUAUCCCAACAUAAAACUUCUCAUCGUAAACUAGCAAUGGAUAUAAGUAACGAGGCCAAUGUUGAUUCAUUUUCAAUUGGUCCUUCAACAAUCAUUGGACGAACAAUUGCUUUUAGGAUCCUGUUCUGUAAGUCAAUAAAACGUUUCAGGCAUCAAAUCUUUCACGUAUUGUUGCAUUUCAUCUAUAGAUGUAAGGACUUCUUUGCACCCUUGAUAUCAUGGUUGCAUCCCCGAAAUCCACAAGGGAUAUUGGCAUUGGUGACAGUUAUUGCUCUUUUGUUGAAACGUUACACAAAUGUAAAAUUGAGGGCUGAAAUGGUUUACAGAAGGAAAUUUUGGAGAAAUAUGAUGAGUGCUGCAUUGACAUAUGAAGAGUGGGCUCAUGCUGCUAAGAUGCUUGAUAAAGAGACCCCAAAGAUGAGUGAAUCGGAUUUUUAUGAUGAGGAACUUGUGAGAAACAAGCUUCAGGAACUCCGACACCGUCGCCAAGAUGGAUCUCUUAGAGAUAUAAUCUUUUGCAUGAGAGCUGAUCUUAUCAGAAAUCUUGGUAAUAUGUGUAAUCCUGAGCUUCAUAAAGGUAGGCUUCACGUGCCUAAACUCAUCCAGGAAUACAUUGAUGAGGUCUCGACUCAGUUGAGAAUGGUUUGUGACUUGGAUUCGGAGGAGCUCUCAUUGGACGAGAAGCUUGCUUUUAUGCAUGAAACAAGGCAUGCAUUUGGUAGAACUGCUUUGCUUUUAAGUGGGGGUGCUUCCCUUGGAGCAUUUCAUAUUGGUGUAGUUAAAACACUAGUAGAACAUAGGCUUUUACCCAGGAUAAUUGCUGGUUCUAGCGUUGGAUCCAUUAUGUGUGCUAUUGUUGCCACUAGAUCAUGGCCUGAGCUGCAAAGUUUCUUUGAGGACACUUGGCGCUCAAUGAAGUUUUACGAUCAGCUGGGUGGAAUUUUUACAAUUGUUGGGAGGGUCAUGAGACAAGGGGCUGUUCAUGAUAUCAGGUACUUGCAAUGGAUGCUAAGACACCUCACAAGCAAUCUUACAUUUCAAGAAGCUUAUGAUAUGACUGGUAGAAUUCUUGGGAUAACAGUUUGCUCUCCAAGGAAGCAUGAGCCACCUAGGUGCCUUAAUUACUUGACUUC